UACAGCCAUAUCACGUUAAAACAGCGGUUCUCGUACGAUCACCGAAGUUAAGCAACGUCGAGCCUGCUCAUUACCUAGAUGAGUAGCCGCUUGGGAAUACCGGGAUCUGUAA